rnacentral:rRNA from 1 species
UACGUAGGGGGCAAGCGUUGUCCGGAUUUAUUGGGCGUAAAGCGCACGCAGGCGGUCUUUCGCGUUCCCAGUGACAGGUGGGGGCUUAACUCCCACAGGGCUGAGAAAACGGGAAGACUUGAGGACGAGAGAGGGAUGCGGAAUUCCAGGUGGAGCGGUGAAAUGCGCAGAUAUCAGGAGGAACACCAAUGGCGAAGGCAGCUCACUACACGAAUAUUGACACUGAGGCACGAAAGCGUGGGGAUCAAACAGG